rnacentral:rRNA from 1 species
GAUGAACGCUGGCGGCGUGCCUAAUACAUGCAAGUCGAGCGAACGGACGAGAAGCUUGCUUCUCUGAUGUUAGCGGCGGACGGGUGAGUAACACGUGGAUAACCUACCUAUAAGACUGGGAUAACUUCGGGAAACCGGAGCUAAUACCGGAUAAUAUUUUGAACCGCAUGGUUCAAAAGUGAAAGACGGUCUGCUGUCACUUAUAGAUGGAUCCGCGCUGCAUUAGCUAGUUGGUAAGGUAACGGCUUACCAAGGCAACGAUGCAUAGCCGACCUGAGAGGGUGAUCGGCCACACUGGAACUGAGACACGGUCCAGACUCCUACGGGAGGCAGCAGUAGGGAAUCUUCCGCAAUGGGCGAAAGCCUGACGGAGCAACGCCGCGUGAGUGAUGAAGGUCUUCGGAUCGUAAAACUCUGUUAUUAGGGAAGAACAUAUGUGUAAGUAACUGUGCACAUCUUGACGGUACCUAAUCAGAAAGCCACGGCUAACUACGUG